CACCACUUCCUCUGACUAAAUCAGCUCUGAGAUUAGCUCUGUGAUCAUUUCAUUAUUCAAUCUUCUCUCCUGACAGGUGCGGGCAGAAUGCUGCUCCUGUCACACGUCAUUCUGGUGGCUUCCCUUUGGACUUAUACAAGUGAAGACAUCCUAAUAACACAACUCAUAACAUCCAUUACCAAGAAAAAAGGAAAUACAGCAUUUCUUGAAUGCAAAGUAAAAAGAGAUGACUUGAAGAAGAAUGCGCACAUACACUGGUACCGACAGAAGCCAGGCCAGCCUCUAAGACGAAUUCUCUACAUUUCCUCAAACGAAAAUGUCGUCCACGAGCGAGGCGUCAGUGAGGACAGAUACGAAGCCAGGAGACGGCAGGGCAAUCCGUCGGCGAGCCUCAGGAUCCACCACGUCGAGGAGGCGGACGCGGGGCUGUAUUACUGCGCCUGCUGGGACACACGCUCAGGCUGGAUCAAGAUGUUUGGAAAAGGGACUAAGCUCGUAGUAACUCCCUCUGAUAUAAGCCUUCCUGCAGACAUUUCUCCCAAGCCCACCAGUUUUCUUCCUUCAAUUGCUGAAAUAAAGCUCCAUAAGGCUGGAACAUAUCUUUGUCUUCUUGAGAAAUUCUUCCCUGAUGUUAUUAAGAUAUAUUGGAAAGAAAAGGAUGGCAGUACAAUUGUGGAAUCCCAGGAGGGAACAACUGUGAAGACUAACGACACAUACAUGAAAUUCAGCUGGCUGACCGUUACUGAAAAUUCAAUGGAUAAAGAACACAAAUGCAUCGUCCAACAUGAGAAUAAUAAAAGAGGCAUUGACCAAGAGAUUCCUUUUCCUUCAAUAAAGAAAGUGGUCGCUGCUUUUGAUUCUACUAAAACUUGUGUGACAGACGAAAUCUCCCCCCUGCAGCUGCAGCUCACCAGCACCUCUGCCUAUUACACCUACCUCCUCCUCCUCCUCAAGAGCGUGAUCUACCUUGCCAUCAUCACCUUCUGUCUGUUUAGGAGAACGGCAGUCUGUGGCGAUGGAAAGAGUUCUAACAGACGGUGGCGCAAAAAAGUCAACUUUUCUUCAUCCUUUAUUGUCCGUAAACGCAUCUCCUGAGGAUCUAGCUGGGCCUUCUCUCUGGGUUUGGGUUAUUUCAGCUUACAUGUGUCCUUUCUAUUAUGUUGUUAUUGUAUGAUGGUUUUUCAAACAACUAGGGAAACAGAAACUCUUACUCUGUAACAGCAAUGAAUUCUGCCAUUACUCAGGGGAGGGACAUGGGGUCGUCCUUUAGCACCACUCUCUCCAUGAUCUCCACCAGUUCCUUGAGCAACCUGCAUAACAAUGUCUUCUGAGUACAGACAGCAUGCAGCUCUUGUCCUGUCCCUUAGGGCCAUUUAACCAGAUAAUCAGCUAGGAGCCUUCCAUUUUGCUCAUUCUGACCCAAAAUCUUUGCUACUUAAGUUCUGGACUUUGUUUUUCAUAAUAGGCACAAUAAAAAAAAUCAAAAGUC